rnacentral:lncRNA from 1 species
GGCAGAUGAGAGAAUCAGCGCAACUUUUUGAAAAAGAGACCCUCCCGUUCGUCUUCUUCUUCUUCACAAAUCAACAACUAGAGCCCCCGGGUCAUGUCUUCAUCUUCUUCAACCCUUACAUACCCUAAUCCCCCUUGUUUUUCGUCUCCACCCCAAAAUCAGUCAAAUCAGCCAUUAAAAUUAACCCCAAACAGUCACCAAAAAUCGGUAAAUGGUUGUUUCCUUCAGCUGAAUUUAAAAAGGAAUUCGAAAAGGUCGAGUCCAAAGUCUAUUGUGUCGUCGGGGUUCGAGUUUCUACCCGUAGAUGUUUCGGACGUGUUGAAGUCUCAUUACUGUUGAAGUUGUCGAAUCUGCUGGGUUAUCUGGUUCAGAGCUGUGGAUUUGUGCUCUAGUUGCUAUUGCUGUUGAUCUUCCUUAUAAAUAGAACUCGGAGUUGUUUGUGGUUGUUUCUCCUUCAAUUAGUAGCUGAACACCCAUUUGAAGUUAUUUUCGGCCUUUAUUUGGCUAUUUUAAAGUCUUACUACUGCUGUCCAGAAAUUUUCAUAUAUAAAAAGUUGUUUUGGAGCCGUGGAAUUGCCGCUCGUUGUCCGUUGAUUUGCGUUGUCAUUACACAGUUUCUCGUUGUUGUUCUAUUGCUAUGGAGCUUCAUUUGUUUUUAAUUCCAUACUUUAUUUGAUUAAUUUCUGCCGGAAAAAGGAAAUGACUGGAGUUGUGUACUGCAUUUGGAGCUGUGUAGUCAAAUGUAUUUGCUGAAGAACCCGAAAUCACUGCGUGAGAUUUGCUGGUUCUCAUCGAAAUUUUUGGAGUCAAAUAUAGAGUAGUGGCUGACUAUUUCUACUGCUAUCAAGGAGAUAUUCGCUGGAACAGGUACAUUUCCCCCUCUCUGUUACUUAUUUACUUAUUCAUUUUCUGUAUUUAUGAUGAAUUGGGGUCCAUUUCUCUUUCCUUUCCUAAUUUGGUACUAUUGUAUUCCUUAGUUUAAUUAAUUUACCUGAUGUACUUAUUGGUGCUUGGUUCGUUUAUUAUGUGAUAGAAUUUGAUGAAUGUCCAGUUAUAAGCCAUUUGUUUGUUUCAGCCAUAAAGUGUGUUUGUUGGAUUAUGGAAAAAUGGGGUAAAUUAAAGAAGUCAGCAUUUUAUUGUCACUCAAUUUCCUUUUAUUUGUGUUGUAAUUAUCCUACUGUUUCGAUUGUUCUGUAGUUCAUUUAGUUGAAAUGCUUUUUCUUUAAUAAUUUGAGGUGUGCCAUUUCAUUAAAUAACUCAUGGCCCUCAUUUAGUUAAUUUUAACUCUUUAGAAAUCGAGGUGCGCCAUUAAUUGAAUUUUCCAUGGCCCUCGCAAAUCUUGUCAUUAACUUGAAAGUGCGUAGUUGCUUUGGGCGCGCUAUUUAAAUUAAUUUCCUUAAACUCGGGUGUGCAUUUCAUGUGACCCAACUCCAGUUCUCAACAACGUUAAAUAGAAUGUGUCAUGGACCGCAGGUGCAUUCCAUGUGGCGUGGUUCAAGGCGUGUUUUAAAUAACGUUGAAUCUUCCUAAAAUUAAUUAAAAGCGGCUAAUAAGUUAAAAAUGUACCAUAGGCUAAAACAUGUAUUAAAAUCAGAUAAUAGGCCAAUUGUGAUAGUUUAAGCGACCGCGCUAGAAUACGAAAUCUAGGGGUGCCUAAUACCUUCCCUCGGGUUAACAGAAUUCCUUAUUCAAAAUUUCUGGUUCACAUACUUCAAAAGGAAAGUCGAAAUUUCCUCGAUUUGGGAUUUAAAAUAAACUGGUGACUUGGGACACUAAUAAAUAUUCCAAGUGGCAACUCUGAGAAAUUAAAUAAAAUAAUCUCAUUUUGAAUAAUGUCACUUAAAGUGAAAAAACUCCUUUAUAUACCACAUUUUGAGUCUACUUUAAGCCUUCAUGCCGACCCUUCUGUCCAACUAUCCAAAAACUUUCAAAUAAAGACCUCCUGAUAUGCCUUCAAAAAUGCCAAGAGGAGCAUGCAAUGAGCAACGGUUGUCACGCGACAUAGAACACUAUCAAGAUGCUCACACAAGAAAAGUGAAAAAAAAAGAAAACGAAAAAAUGAAUGAGAGAGUCUUACUAGUGAAAACCUUUACGGGCAUUGUAAGACAAUGGUAAGAAGAGAUAAAUAAAUGAGAGAGACUUGUUAGUGAAAAUCCCUCGGGGCACCACUACUCAAAAGCGAGUCGUGAAGCUGAUGCAAAGAAUUGACAUAAACAAGGCCGACUUUAAAGGUCAUAAGAAUGUUAAAAAGGAAUAUUGGAUUAGUUUGAUAGAUCAGGCCGUUGAGUCUAAAAUGCAUGUCAUGAUCAUUAAGGCUAGUUAUUGAAAAAAAAAGAACUCCUCCUUCUGUCCUUCCGACAUGGGCAUUUCUUGUUGAUACUUAUUUCUUUGCAUCAUUGUAUCAUUUACUCUGAGUCGGUCCUUGUCAAAACAAGCAAGAAAAGACUUCAAAAUCUGCUACCAGCUUUUCAGUUGCACAAAGUAAAUUUGGCCAGCACACUCAGUUGUUACUUUCAACAUGACUUGAGGUUUCAUGCAAAGUCUUCCCCAGAAGACUCUUGUCAGCCUACUUAGUGCAAGCAAAGAUAAAUGGUGAGUCUCUCUGACAGACAAAUUGCUCAAAAGCAGGAAGUCAUUCAAGAUAUCGGAAAAGGUCACCUAAACAAAGAUCUCCAAUUGGGAUAAGGCUGUUGGAGCUGCAAAUAUAAAUGGUACUGGUGUGAAACAAUCAAAGUUGGUGUAGAACAAAAGUCUUUUGAGACCGACUGAAGUUGAUUGAGCAGAAGCCAAGCCGCCCAAGAUUCAAGGCCACAAACCGACCACCAUUUUCAAAACUGACAAAUUUUUCUUUGUAUGAAACGGGAACAAAGCGGUGCAAGGAAAGUGAUUCAAAAAGAAAAAAAAUGGAAAAAAAACAAAAACAACAAAAAAAAAAGAGAAGAAAAAGGAAAAUCGAGAAGAGCCGACAAAAGGAAGUUUCUCAAAUGUUUGCCUUUAUUUGACUUACUAUUGUGCAUAAAUUCUUGCCAUUGAUCUUCACAUUUUUCCUCCUAGGAUAAAAAGUCCUAGUCUGAUGGAUUUUCCUCCCAAUCUAAAUCUUAGUCUGAUGAAUCUUUCUCCUAAGAUAGAAAACCUAGUCUGAUGAAUUUUCUCUUAGGAUCAAAAUCUUAGUUUGAUGAAUCUUUCUCCUAAGAUAGAGAACCUAGUCUGAUGAACUUUCUCCUAGGNNNNNNNNNNNNNNNNNNNNNNNNNAAUGCAAUUCAGGUCAGCAACAAAAGAAGCUCGUAUCAAGAAUGUGAGUCAGCAUUCCAAGAUGAUCAACAGAAGUUAGUCACAAUCCAGAAUAAAAACAACAACAACAACAACAACAACAACAACAACAAAAAGAAAGACAAGAAGUGAAUCCAAAUGCAGAAGUUAAUGAAAGAUGUGAGCUGCUCAAGACAAGGCUGAGGUCACAAGCUCUGCAUGUCCCGUCUUGGUUUGAAAAGUUGAAGAAGAUUGAACCAAUACCUACGGCUGACAAGCAUCAAAAUUCAGAUUAGGGUCCGCAUGAAGAACCAACCAAUACUCAAAAUCAAGCUUCAGAAGACUCAUAGAUAUGAAUCUUGUAACUCGUAACUGAUAGGCUUAGUUGGUCUUUUUCAUUUUUUAUUUUGAUGUAAUAACGGGACCGCAGACCGGAACCUCAGCGAAACGGCACCUCGACUGGCUCUCAACCUCGGCACACUCCAUCAUCUCACUCACUUCUGAACUACACGUGGCCUGAUUCCUUUAUAGCCAAGGAUAUGUAGGCAAUUCAGAUACCAGGGCUCGGUCACAUUCCCCUUUUCUCUUAGCUUUAGUCUCUCCAAAUAAGGGUCAGGUCAAAAAACCUGUCUAGUCGUUCUUUGUCUGAAAACUCUUCGCGUUUCCAGUCAAAGAGGGGCAACUAUAGACAUGUGAUUUUUGACCCUCCCCAAGAUUUUUUAUAUUUUAGUAUGUAAAUAUUUAAUUUAGGCCUAAUAGCGUUAUUUUAACUCUCUCACUUUAUUUUAUUACAAGAAAAUGAAAAUUACAAAAAAAUAGUUUCAUUAAUGUUUUGUAGUCUUUUUUAAUCUCUAAAAAUACCAAAAAAUAGAUUUUGUUUUAACGAUUAGUCUUUAUUUUAAUAAUUAUUUUUACUUAAGAAGGCUUAAUUAAUAUUUUUGAUAAUAUUGCUAUAUGGAUAGACUUUUAGUUAAUUAAGCUAAUUUUAAACAUAGCUAGUCAUAAAUGCCCAAGUUUCUAGCCCAUUCCUUAAGCUUAAUAUCCAAUACCCAUUAAGUUAAUCCUAGGAACCUUUCUAGACUCUUCUUUGGAACAGAAAAUAAAUAAAAAGGCCCUAAGGACUUAACAUAAAAAGACCUAGGGACUAAUUGUCAAAAUACACAAAAAAACACAUUAAACCUAGACCUAUAUUAGGUAACGCCUAAUACACUAAAAAGGGGAGAUGAGAGAAUCAACGCAGCUUUUUGAAAAAGAGACCCUCCCGUUCGUCUUCUUCUUCACAAAUCAACAACCAGAGAGACCCCCCAGUCACGUCUUUAUCUUCUUCAACCCUUACACACCCUAAUCCCCCUUGUUUCUUUGUCUCCACCUCAAAACCAGUCAAAGCAGCCAUUAAAAUUAACCCCAAACAGUCACAAAAAAUCGGUAAAUGGUUGUUUCCUUCAGCUGAAUUUAAAAAGGAAUUCGAAAAGGUCGAGUCCAAAGUAUAUUGUGUCAUCGGGGUUCGAGUUUCUGCCCGUCGAUGUUUCGGACUUGUUGAAGUCUCAUUACUGUUGAAGUUGUCGAAUCUGCUAGGUUAUCUGGUUCAGAGCUAUGGAUUUGUGCUCUAGUUGCUAUUGUUGUUGAUCUUCCUUACAAAUAGAAGUCGGAGCUGUUUGCGGUUGUUUCUCCUGCAAUUAGUAGCUGAACACCCAUUUGAAGUUAUUUUCGGCCUUUAUUUGACUAUUUUAAAGUCUUACUACUGCUGUCCAGAAAUUUUCAUAUAUAAAAAGCUGUUUUGGAGCCGUGGAAUUGCCGCUCGUUGUCCGUUGAUUUGCGUUGUCAUUACACAGUUUCUCGUUGCUGUUCUAUUGCUAUGGAGCUUCAUUUGUUUUUAAUUUCAUACUUUAUUUGAUUAAUUUCUGCCGGAAAAAGGAAAUGACUGGAGUUGUGUACUGCAUUUGGAGCUGUGUAGUCAAAUGCAUUUGCUGAAGAACCCGAAAUCACUGCGUGAGAUCCGCUGGUUCUCAUCGGAAUUUUGGGAGUCAAAUGUAAAGUAGUGGCUGACUAUUUCUACUUCUAUCAAGGAGAUAUUCGCUGGAACAGGUACAUUUCCCCCCUCUCUGUUACUUAUUUACUUAUUCAUUUGCUGUAUUUAUAGUGAAUUGGGGUCCAUUUCUCUUUCCUUUCCUAAUUUGGUAUUACUGUAUUCCUUAGUUUAAUUAACUCCCCUGAUGUACUUAUUGGUGCUUGGUUCAUUUAUAACGUGAUAGCAUUUGAUGAAUGUCCAGUUAUAAGCCAUUUGUUUGUUUCUGCCUUAAAGUGUGUUUGUUGGAUUGUGGAAAAAUGGGGUAAAUUAAAGAAGUCAGCAUUUUAUUGUCACUCAAUUUUCUUUUAUUUGUGUUGUAAUUAUCCUACUGUUUCGAUUGUUCGGAGUAUGCCUAGGCUGUUAAUAUUAAUGAGCAUUUGUAUUUUGCUUUAGGCAUGCAAUAUGAUCAUCGCAAUUACGGAUACGGUUCUCGUGACGUAGUUGUGGUACCUAAUUAGUUUUAAACAUGAAUAGCUGUAGUUCAUUUAGUUGAAAUGCUUUUCCUUUAAUAAUUUGAGGUGUGCCAUUUUCAUUAAAUGACCCAUGGCCCACAUUUAGUUAAUUUUAACUCUUUAGAAAUCGAGGUGCGCCAUUAGUUGAAUUUUUCAUGGCCCUCGCAAAUCUUGUCAUUAACUUGAAAGUGCGUAGUUGCUUUGGGCGCGCUAUUUAAAUUAAUUUCC